GCCUGGGUGGCUCAGUAGGUUAAGUGUCUGACUUUGGCACAGGUUAUGAUCUCACAAUUUGUGGGUUCAAGCCCCUCAUCAGGCU
rfam:Felis catus isolate Cinnamon breed Abyssinian chromosome A2, whole genome shotgun sequence.